rnacentral:rRNA from 1 species
GAUGAACGCUAGCGGCAGGCUUAAUACAUGCAAGUCGAGGGGCAGCACGGUUAGCAAUAACUGGUGGCGACCGGCGCACGGGUGCGUAACACGUAUACAAUCUACCUUAAACAGGGGGAUAGCCUUUCGAAAGAGAGAUUAAUACCCCGUAAUAAAUUGAACGGCAUCGUUUGAUUUUGAAAGCUCCGGCGGUUUGAGAUGAGUAUGCGUCUGAUUAGCUAGUUGGUGAGGUAACGGCUCACCAAGGCGACGAUCAGUAGGGGAUCUGAGAGGACUAACCCCCACACUGGUACUGAGACACGGACCAGACUCCUACGGGAGCAGCAGUAAGGAAUAUUGGUCAAUGGAGGCAACUCUGAACCAGCCAUGCCGCGUGCAGGAUGACGGCCCUAUGGGUUGUAAACUGCUUUUGUACGGGAAGAAACACUCCUACGUGUAGGAGCUUGACGGUACCGUAAGAAUAAGGAUCGGCUAACUCCGUGCCAGCAGCCGC